rnacentral:rRNA from 1 species
GAUGAACGCUGGCGGCGUGCUUAACACAUGCAAGUCGAACGGUGAACAUGGAGCUUGCUCUGUGGGAUCAGUGGCGAACGGGUGAGUAACACGUGAGCAACCUGCCCCUGACUCUGGGAUAAGCGCUGGAAACGGCGUCUAAUACUGGAUAUGAGUAGCGGCCGCAUGGUCUGUUACUGGAAAGAUUUUUUGGUUGGGGAUGGGCUCGCGGCCUAUCAGCUUGUUGGUGAGGUAAUGGCUCACCAAGGCGUCGACGGGUAGCCGGCCUGAGAGGGUGACCGGCCACACUGGGACUGAGACACGGCCCAGACUCCUACGGGAGGCAGCAGUGGGGAAUAUUGCACAAUGGGCGGAAGCCUGAUGCAGCAACGCCGCGUGGGGGAUGACGGCCUUCGGGUUGUAAACCUCUUUUAGCAGGGAAGAAGCGUGAGUGACGGUACCUGCAGAAAAAGCGCCGGCUAACUACGUGCCAGCAGCCGCCGUAACAC